UAGCAGGUUCAGACGGUAGAGCAUGAGGUUCUGAGUCUCGGGGCUGUGGGUUCAAGCCCCAAGCUGGGCAAAA